rnacentral:lncRNA from 1 species
ACCUAAUAAACCUGCAUGGAGAUCUGGGAGGAUUUGUCAGGUGUAAUCAAUAUUGUAAUAGCAAUGUGGAAGUUUCACCAUUAUGUUUGACAUUUGUGAUUUAGCAGAUGCUGUUAUCCAGAGAAAUUUACAGGAGCGUUUAGGGUUCAGUACCUUGCUCAAAGGCACGUCGACAGAUUUUUCACCUCGUCGGCUCGGAGAUUGGAAACCAGCAAGCUUUCAGUUACUGUCCCAACGGUCUUAACCACUAGGCCCCCCCCCCUACCAUGUUGAUUACACCUCUCCAAUCCCAGAAAGUGUGUAGGGUGUAGGGCUCUGUUUGGGAUAGGGCCAUAAACUCACUCAAGAGAAAUGACCAGACAACAGACAACAUCAGUUAAAUCACUGUUAGUCUUUUAUUGAGGGUUGUACCCAAGUUAUACAGCUUUGUGUUCCGACACUACGGCCAGAAGGUUUACAAACAGUUAUCAAUCUGUCUAGCGCUCGGUCCGUCGGCCCUGGAGACCAACCACCUUAUAACACUACACCUUUAGUACACAUUCUCUUAAGAGCACUAAAAUAAUCACAAAAAAAAGGGAAAAAAAAAAAAUAUAUAUAUCAUUAUUAUUAUUAUGAAAUAAAAACAAUGACAACAGAACAACAGCAUCAUGGUGGUCGUCGUGGUGACGAUGGGAGGAGACAUGGAUGACAGUGGGAGGAGCAGGCUGGAGUUUCUACCCCAAGGUAGCACGUCACAUCAGGCCUCUGUUACCAAAUAAGGAUUGUCCUUCAGAAAGUGCAGUUCCCCCCCCCCCUCCCCCGAAGAAACCACCCUGCCCCCCCCCAUCCUCCUGUCAGGAAGACACAACGCCAAAACACCCUCCCUGUAACUUUAAAGUAAGUCUUUAUUAUUAGUAAAUAUUAUAGACGUUGGGUUGUUUUCUCUGUACAUCGUUUCUUAUCAGCCUCCCGAAGCAAUGUGCAUAUUAGGUUCACAGGUCAGGAGAAUAUUCUACUCUGCAGCUCGAGGUCUGAGACUUCCAGCUGAUAGAAUUCUCAGUGAUAGAACGUCUCUAUAAAGGAGAGGAGAGGCUUCUAGAAUUCUCAGUGAUAGAACGUCUCUAUAAAGGAGAGGAGAGGCUUCUAGAAUUCUCAGUGAUAGAACGUCUCUAUAAAGAAGAGGCUUCUAGCUUCUAGAAUUCUCAGUGAUAGAACGUCUCUAUAAAGGAGAGGAGAGGCUUCUAGAAUUCUCAGUGAUAGAACGUCUCUAUAAAGAAGAGGCUUCUAGCUUCUAGAAUUCUCAGUGAUAGAACGUCUCUAUAAAGAAGAGGCUUCUAGCUUCUAGAAUUCUCAGUGAUAGAACGUCUCUAUAAAGGAGAGGCUUCUAGAAUUCUCAGUGAUAGAACGUCUCUAUAAAGGAGAGGCUUCUAGCUGAUAGAAUUCUCAGUGAUAGAACGUCUCUAUAAAGGAGAGGAGAGGCUUCUAGAAUUCUCAGUGAUAGAACGUCUCUAUAAAGGAGAGGAGAGGCUUCUAGAAUUCUCAGUGAUAGAACGUCUCUAUAAAGGAGAGGCUUCUAGAAUUCUCAGUGAUAGAACGUCUCUAUAAAGGAGAGGCUUCUAGCUUCUAGAAUUCUCAGUGAUAGAAUGUCUCUAUCAAAAGCAGCAGUAAAUCUAUGGUUCCAGCAGUCCUCAUCUGUGUCCCAACAGAAACCAGCGGGGGGGGGGGAGGACUUUGUAAAUCUAACCUUCUGCGUGUGGCUGGUUGGUUGGCUAGUAGGUAGAAAAGGUGAUGGCACACAUGUUUUUAGGAAUACUGUGAGCCCUGGCUGCACCGUAGUCCCUACGUAGGGCAAUCCCUGUCUAUGAGUCCCUGGUUAUAAGUAGUGCACUGACAUAGGAGACCAGUGUCUUGUCUGGAACACUGCUCAGGUCUCCACUGUGGACUGGGCUUUAGAUAGAAACCCCAAAUGGACAUGGAAGGCUGGAUAACACCAUUGCAUAGUCUCUUUGUGCACCCCACUCCCCUCGUUACCCUCCCUAAUCCUCCCC